CCCAAUCCCAGCAUUUUCCCUAUGAAGCCUCCCCUCCUCUUCUGAUCUGGAAAUCCAUGCUCCAACACCUUCACAGUUGAAACACAAUUCAUGCAUCAUAUGCUACCACGUGGUGGUGGUUCCAGCAUGGAUAUUUAUGGAUAUUUAUGCAUGCUCAACCACCUUAGUGGCCACUGUCCCUCAUUCUGAAUGCUGGAAGACAACCUGUUUCAUUUCUGAGAAGAAGGCUUUUUCUCUCCCCAGCUUAACAAGUACAUUCCCUUGCAGACAGAGCAAUGUCCCCGGGGACUGUGGUUUUUUAGAAGUGUGUCUAAACUGUCCAAGUGAACAUGUGGGAAAGACCAUAGCCCUCUAGCACUCAUCUGCUUGCCUCUUGCACUCAGUAUAUUUGGUUUGGAUAGGGGCCCUUGCACCAGAAAGCCUGAACCUGUUUCUGAAGAGCUGCUGGAACAUAUGCUGGGUAAUAUACAGCAGGAGGAUGAAUCUCAUAGGACAAGGAAAGCUUUUCCAGACUGGUGCUGAGGUGCUGCUACUGACACUGCUGAUGUCUAAACCUGGACCCUAAUGAUAUGGAUAGGGUAGUUUUAUUUAUCUAUCCAUUUACAUUGAUCUUUUAUAAAGACUGUUAAAAAAGCACAGGAGAUUGAAGAACACAGAAAAAAAAAGGCAAUGUCCUGUGUAGGUGCAAAGCAAACCUUCUGCACUCUAUCCAGAUGACUCAGUCUUGCCCCACAAACUCCUUCCUCAGCCUAACCUCUGUGGGACUGUAGGAAUGCAGAACAGCCUACCUGCUUCUAACAAUCUCCUGGGUGCUUACAGUCUAAAAAUACCACGCAGAAAUAAUGAUCCUUGGUACGGAGGAGGUAAAUCUGCAUCUCCGUGACCGUCUGGAGAGCACUCGAUGAUGGCUCACGUCACGAUUCCUUGUUACUGCAUCCCUAGCCAUCCUGCCAGCACUGCACGACCUCAGCACGGCGUCUUGGUCCAAGCUUAAAGCUUUGAACUCUUCAGCUCAGCCUUGCAGGCUCGUUGGCAGCCACGUGUUGUGGGAAUGAUGUAUUCUCUUGGCACUGGCCUUCGUGUUCCAUUGCUGGGGCAGCCAAAUAUGAAGACAGAUUUCGCAAGGUAGAAUGGAGGUACCGAGACUUUCUGUGUUGUCCCAACUCUGGUGAAUGAUAACCACAAAUUCUCGCUUAGGUUUUCUUGUGGUGAAGGUGAAAUUCAAAGAAUGGUGACCCGGGAAAUGAGACACACAAAGCUUGUUCUCGGAGAGGUUGUUAGGCACACCAUGAGAAGGAUUUGCUAUUAGUGGGCGUUAUGUACACGUUGAGCCUUCCUCUUUGUCAUACAAAGUAGCCUUGAAGGCACCUCACCCAAAGAUCAUUGUGUCAUUCCCACUCAUAGGUGUUUUGGAAAGGCUCUGAGCUACCAGGAGCUCUUGCAGCUUUCACAUCCCAGAGAUGUGAGCAACCCAGCCACGCAGAUGGCCCCAGGAUCAGUAUUGCUUUCACCCAGUGGGACCUGUGGGCUUCCCAAAAGUGAAAAGAUGGACAGAGCAGCUUGGGAAGUCUCAUGGCAGUUGAUUGUCUACAAAAUCGAAGUGCAGAAGCUGCAGUACUUUUAUUUCACUGCAGGAAAUCCAAGAGUCUAGAAAGACUUGUGGCAAUGGUGGGUUGAUGGUUGGACUAGAUGAUCUUAGUGGUCGUUUCCAACUGUAAUGGUUCCACUGUUCUGUGAUUCUAAGACUGGCCCAAGCCAAGCCCUGGGAACUCCAGAUACACAACAUAGAAUUUUCAUCCCUCCUUUUGUGCAUCUGCAAACCUAAGACUCGUGUCAUCAUCCUUCAGUAGACCAUCAGCUCUUCCAGAGUCUCAUUUACUCAGUUUCUGAAGCCUGGAGGAACUAGAAACCUUGACAUGCAGAAGAGAGCUAAAUUUAUCUGUGGCACCCUUGGCCACACAGAAGUCAUGCUGUGAAUCAGCUCUGGAGCUGGAAAUAAAGCUUCUUGUCUUCAGGCAGCCCAUAUGGCCACAUAACCUCAAAGCAAAAUUUCUUCAUUACCCAGACACUGAUAAUGCUGAGCUGCCCAGGAGGCAGGGCUGCCCAGGAGCAGUAGAGCUGGAAACCGUACAUCUCAAGCAAUAUUGGCAAGAAAACAAGAAAACAAAAUCAUCAAAGCAGGGAGAAGUGAACAGAAGAAAGAAACUUGUACAGAAAGAGGCAGACAAAGCACAUGUUGCAUUGAGAAGUUGUACCACUGCACACACCAUUCCAGCUGUUCCCUGUGCUGAGGCACACGGUGCAUAUGAUAAUCAUCAUUGCUUCUUUUCUCUCCCUCCCCCAAUUAUAAACUGGGAACACUUGAAAAAAAGAAAUCAGUAUAUUGGAUCAAGCUUAGGGCUUGCCUGAUGCUGUGAGGCUGAAAUGAGGAGGAAUCACUGCUACAGAAGAAGGACAGUCGUGCUGUGCAACUUGUAGAGCAGUGUGAACAAGGAUCACAGAGUCCUUCCUAUGCUGGAGGGUCGUAAUGAACCAUCAUGAGCUGUCAGCACCGUGGAAAAAAGAUCUUAUGGUUGUGCUCGUAGUAAACCAGCCUACAGGAAACCAUAGAAAACAGCUUGGAAAUUGAAUGUAAAUGGAUGUGAAGGCAACUAGAAAGCAAGCGUUCUAAUGCUGAUGGUGUUUCCCUUGUUGAUAAAUGGAAAGCAAACACUGCAAAAGGACAUGGGGAAUAUUCCACUUGAAUCAUCUAUUAAUUUGUCUGUGCUGCAGUCAAUAGUCUAAGAAGUAUCUACUUUAAAGAGAAUCUCGUCGUGAGGUUGGCCCUUUGAAAAGUUUCAGAACUCUGCUAAAUUAAAGUCUCAAACUGCUGAUGAAAAAGCACUCCAGGUGCAAAGGGGAGCUGGCAAAAAAAAGAAUGACUAUAGCACAGAAGUAAUUAAACAACUUGGAGCAAAUGCAUUUGGCAUGGGUGGAAAUUGGGAUCUUAACGUCAAAUAAUAGGCGUAUGUCUCUUCUGUUGUCAUGCAAUUAAAGAAUGAAACCUGCAGAAGGGAGAGGGUUGUUCUGUUCCUGCUAAUAGCCUGUGAGUGCAGUGAGGGCUGGCUCUCAUGUGUCUUUUUUCUGUACUCUGGGCACAGCUACAGCUGCUGAGUGGAAAUCAGUAGUCCUGGCUUGUUGCUUGCAAUUAAUCCCUUGCCAUACCGCAGCUUUCCUGGGCUGUUCACAUAGUGUUUGAAAGACAAAUGACACAAAAUAGGUGGGACAGACCCUUGGCAAAGAUGGAGGAACCUGUCUUUACCAACCCUGAUGUGUCCUCGUCGCAACCAGGCUACUUAGAAGGGUCAACACCAAUUUAGCUGAUAACUUUUUUGUAGAAUCAUAGAAUCAGUAAGGUUGGAAAAGACCAUUAAGAUCGUCAAGUUGAGUUGUCACCACCAAGCUCAUGAAACCUUGUGCUGCUAAACCAUUUACACACUGGAACAAGGAGGUUGUGGAUUCCCCAUCCCUGGAGGCAUUCAAGGCCAGGCUGGAUGUGGCUCUGGGCAGCCUGGUCUGCUGGUUGGUGACCCUGCACAUAGCAGGGGGGUUAAAACUCAAUGAGCACUGUGGUCCU
ensembl:lncRNA